rfam:Candidatus Sulfuricurvum sp. RIFRC-1, complete genome.
UCAGGUGGCUAUAGAGAGGGGGAAACGCCCGGUCCCAUUCCGAACCCGGAAGCUAAGACCCUCAUCGCUCAUAAUACUGCAUCUUUCAGGUGUGGAAACGUAGGUCGCCGCCUGGC